rnacentral:misc_RNA from 1 species
UUAAGUUCGGCGGGUAUCCCUACCUGACUCCGAGGUCAACCUGGUAAAAUUUGGGGUUGAUGACGAGCACCGCCAGGACCCUAUAGCGAGAAGAAUUACUACGCUUAGAGCCAGACGGCACCGCCACUGAUUUUAGGGGCCACCAGAAGGCGAGCCCCAACACCAAGCUAGGCUUGAGUGGUUGUAAUGACGCUCGAACA